UACGUAGGGGGCAAGCGUUGUCCGGAUUUAUUGGGCGUAAAGAGCUCGUAGGCGGUUUGGUAAGUCUGGUGUGAAAUCUCCACGCUCAACGUGGAGGGGCCACCCGAUACUGCCAUGACUGGAGUCCGGUAGAGGAGUGUGGAAUUCCCGGUGUAGCGGUGAAAUGCGCAGAUAUCGGGAGGAACACCAGUAGCGAAGGCGGCUCGCUGGCCCGGUACUGACGCUGAGGCGCGAAAGCGUGGGGAGCAAACAGG
rnacentral:rRNA from 1 species